CAUGAGCUUUCAAGGGGAAAUGGAGCUCUCUGUAUUUCACAGAGAAACCUGCUGGCUACUUCAGAGAAGUAACAAUCAAUAGAUUUGGUCCAGGCAUGGGAUAUGGACUCAGACUUCCCUUUUCCCCUGGUGAUGGGAUAUAUUCCUGUAAUUGUUCCCUCCUGCUCUGGUGGUAAGGGGGUGGAUGUUACCUCUUCCAGAGAUUCAUAAUCUUUAGAUAAAUAUAUGAGAACACCAUCUGAGACAUCAAAGAGCUGUUGAAGUUGUCAAAUUUCAGGUGCUUAACAAUUGUGAAGGAAAAAUGGUAGUCAUGGAUAGCAGGAAAACAAAGACACAAAGGACAAAUGCAUAGAAAAUUAUGUGAAAAGAAGUUUCUUCAUUACUAGACUAUGCUUCUAUCUCUUUGAGUAAUCUCUAUGGGCUUCAUUUAGCAAAGCGUUCUGACAUCAGAAACAAACUCUGUACUAUUAUUCAGGGUUCAUUUUAGUUUUUGCCACAGCUCGGGGGCAGAUUCACCGAUUACAGUGGAGCUACAGAACAUGAGUCUUACAUGACAUAGCAAUGGGUCCGUAUGGAAAGCCCUUACAGAGACACCAGGUAUGUGGGGUGAAGGUGAGGGUUGGUAAGCCUCCAGCAUUCCUCCUUGAUGUAGUGUUAGCACAGAGUGGAGAUCUGCACCCAGAUCUAGGAGCUGGGAGUAUUUCAUGUUUCUGACCCGCUUCAGUGGCUCCUCUGACCGUUGCAUCAGUUUGUUAGUUGAUGUGAAAUGAAAGAUGUCUUUUAGCAGAGCAGAGAACAGCUAGUGAAUCCUCCUAGUUGUCACUGAACUACACAACUGCUUUAUAGAUUCCAUGGGAAUAAGCCAGCUUACUAGAUGGGAUGAGUCAUUCACUCCAUCUUUAAAACAGUCAAACUGUUGUUGCAGAGAUUUGUCUCCUAAC